rnacentral:rRNA from 1 species
GGGCAAUGAAGUACGCUCUAUACCCUUUGUGACAUACCUACAACUGUUGCUUCGGCGGGUAGGCCGUCCCCUGAAAAGGACGCCUCCCGGCCCGGACCGGACCCCCCGCGGGACCGGACCCGGCGCCCGCCGGAGGAUAACCAAACUCUAUUGUAACGACGUUUCUUCUGAGUGGCAUAAGCAAAAUAAUCAAAACUUUUAACAACGGAUCUCUUGGUUCUGGCAUCGAUGAAGAACGCAGCGAAAUGCGAUAAGUAAUGUGAAUUGCAGAAUUCAGUGAAUCAUCGAAUCUUUGAACGCACAUUGCGCCCGCCAGCAUUCUGGCGGGCAUGCCUGUUCGAGCGUCAUUUCAACCCUCAAGCUCUGCUUGGUGUUGGGGCUCUACGGUCGACGUAGGCCCUCAAAGGUAGUGGCGGACCCUCCCGGAGCCUCCUUUGCGUAGUAACAUUUCGUCUCGCACUGGGAUCCGGAGGGACUCUUGCCGUAAAACCCCCCAAUUUUCCAAAGGUUGACCUCGGAUCAGGUAGGAAUACCCGCUGAACUUAAGCAUAUCAUAGGCCCGGAGGAA